GUUCUGAUGAAGAGUCCCAAACUAGGACGAAACAGUUGUUCAGUAC
rnacentral:hammerhead_ribozyme from 1 species